rnacentral:rRNA from 1 species
AUGAGGCAGUCGAGGUUCAAGAGGAUCUGCGUCUUCUGCGGCAGUAGCCAGGGCAAGAAGAGGAGCUACCAUGACGCCGCCAUUGAGCUCGGCAACGAGCUGGUUGCGAGGGGCGUGGACCUGGUGUACGGCGGGGGAAGCAUCGGGCUCAUGGGCAUGGUGUCCCAGGCGGUGCACGACGGCGGCAGGCACGUCAUAGGUGUCAUUCCCAAGACCCUCAUGACCCCAGAGAUAAGCGGUGAGACGGUGGGGGAGGUGAGGGCAGUGGCGGACAUGCAUCAGAGGAAGGCAGAGAUGGCAAGGCACUCUGACGCCUUCAUAGCCCUGCCUGGAGGAUAUGGUACCCUGGAGGAGCUGCUCGAAGUGAUUACAUGGGCGCAGCUCGGCAUCCAUCACAAGCCGGUUGGGCUGCUGAACGUGGACGGGUACUACAACUCGCUGCUGACCUUCAUCGACAAGGCCGUGGAGGAAGGGUUCAUCAACACCAGCGCGCGCCGCAUCAUCGUGCUCGCCCCCACGGCGGAGGAGCUCAUGGAGAAGCUCGAGGACUACGUGCCUUACCACGACAGGGUGGCGUCGAAGCUCAACUGGGACAUAGCGGCGGAGAUAGGGCACCUAGGGUACUGA